UUGAAAGAGUGAGAAGAAAGAUUUCAAGUUACCUGUUUCAUUUGACUCUCUUGAAACUCACAUUUUUCUCUCUACUGUCUCUCUUGUUCUUUCUCUCCCCUUCCUUGCUCAAUCUCACUCAUUAUCCUGAAAUAACUUUUAGUUGAUUUCAAUUCUGAAGGCCAUCCAGCUUUACAUGUUUGUGAGUUCGCAAAGUAAAUCCCGCAAGAUCAAUAAAAUAAAAUUAUUCAACUCCAGAUCGGUCCCAGUUUUUAUUUCGCAACAAAACUGACUUAUCUCGUGAUAUUGAAAAUACAUGACAACUUAUUUUUCUUAACCAGUUUACUUCUCAUCAAAUCAUUGAUCUUCAAGCCAUCGUUUAAUCAUUCAAUUUGUUCAUUGUGAUUAUGAAUCUAAUUGGUGAAAAUUUCUUUAACCGUUGGUAUAUUGUCGCUCCUGUUCUAGGAUUAAAUUUAUAUUUCAUUGGUGUGUUUCUCAGGACAUUUUUAACUUCAAUUAGUGAGUUCAUCAGACAUUGGAAAGCCUUUUAUGAAUUACUGGAUGAAUUGUGUACAUUGAAUCGACAGCAAAACUUGGAAUAUAAUGAUCGCCGUGGGCGUCGUGUUGUCAGACGAUGUUGUGGUUAACAAGUGGUUGAGACUUGAAAGAACCAAAAGAUUAAACCAGAACUAUAAGGAUAUAAGAAACAACAAAUGAUGUCUAUGGUCAAGUGUUUUAUGAUUAACAAUGAAAAGACGAUGGAAAACAAUGUGAAAACGAAUUCAUAAUUUAAAGUCAAGCACCGAAAUAAUACCAUGACAGCAAAAGUCCCUUCGAUCGUCAAUUAUCAAAUUAACUAUACUAGUCUCUCAUUACUCCACCAUAAUUAUCACCAUCAACACUUUCUCAACCAUUCAUAGAUCAUCAACAAUGCUUCAAUGUGUAUUCCUUUUGUAAUAUUUCUUCAGCUUUAUCCUUCUCAUUUCCCUUCUUGUUCAGAGUAAGAAAAAUGUUCAAGGUUUCCCAAGCUUUUAAUGAUCUAUCUCCACAUGCUGAGGCUUCACAAAAUACAGUAAAUCCUGAACCUUUUCAGCACUUUUACUAUUCGCAAUUAUCUUCAUUGUACUUUUACAAUUUCUAGUUUUGGCGACACACGCCUAGAAGCCCAUUGGUAACCCGAUAGACCAUUAAGCAUGUUAAACAAUAUCUUUUAACAUCUAAUCAUUAACUGUCAAGGUAGAUCAUUCGUUGUUUUAAUGAAUCCUUGAACAUUUUUCGAUUCUUCGUCUUCCUUAAUUUUUAUCUGAUUGUUCAACUUCUUGUUUACUGUAUUGACCAGUACAUUGUAAUACAAUUCAAUCAACCAGAAAAAAGCUUAUUUUUUAAUAUUU